AUGUUCUUGAUUUGUCUUUCUUUUUGUUCAUUUCAACGGUGUGAUUAUUUAUCUCAGCGUGCAAAGUAUCUUAGUUGCGAUUCUAUAUCGAAGGCCAGUGAUUAUAUUGACGAGGUUGAGUUGUUUUACCCGCCUGAGCAAUUGAAUUCAAUAAAAAUCAGCAAUUUCCUACAGCACAAAAUUCCGCUUAAGGUUGGCAUUCCUGUUAUGCUCCUUAGGAAUGUCAACCAAUCAUUUGGUUUGUGGAAUGGAACGCCGUUGAUCAUUACACGUCUUGGUGAAAGAGUGCUAGAGGGAGAGCUCUAA
rnacentral:rRNA from 1 species